rnacentral:tRNA from 1 species
UGGCUCAGUGGUUAGAGCACUGGCUCCUCUUCCAGAGGUCCUGAGUUCAAAUCCCAG